AAAGCGAGCGGCGGAUGGGUGAGUAACACGUGGGGAACCUGCCCCUAAGUCUGGGAUACCAUUUGGAAACAGGUGCUAAUACCGGAUAAUAAAGCAGAUCGCAUGAUCAGCUUUUGAAAGGCGGCGUAAGCUGUCGCUAAGGGAUGGCCCCGCGGUGCAUUAGCUAGUUGGUAAGGUAACGGCUUACCAAGGCGACGAUGCAUAGCCGAGUUGAGAGACUGAUCGGCCACACUGGGACUGAGACACGGCCCAAACUCCUACGGGAGGCAGCAGUAGGGAAUCUUCCACAAUGGACGCAAGUCUGAUGGAGCAACGCCGCGUGAGUGAAGAAGGUUUUCGGAUCGUAAACCUCUGUUGUUGGUGAAGAAGGAUAGAGGUAGUAACUGGCCUUUAUUUGACGGUAAUCAACCAGAAAGUCACGGCUAACUACGUGCCAGCAGCCGCGGUAAUACGUAGGUGGCAAGCGUUGUCCGGAUUUAUUGGGCGUAAAGCGAGCGCAGGCGGAAAAAUAAGUCUAAUGUGAAAGCCCUCGGCUUAACCGAGGAACUGCAUCGGAAACUGUUUUUCUUGAGUGCAGAAGAGGAGAGUGGAACUCCAUGUGUAGCGGUGGAAUGCGUAGAUAUAUGGAAGAACACCAGUGGCGAAGGCGGCUCUCUGGUCUGCAACUGACGCUGAGGCUCGAAAGCAUGGGUAGCGAACAGGAUUAGAUACCCUGGUAUUCCAUGCCGUAAACGAUGAGUGCUAAGUGUUGGGAGGUUUCCGCCUCUCAGUGCUGCAGCUAACGCAUUAAGCACUCCGCCUGGGGAGUACGACCGCAAGGUUGAAACUCAAAGGAAUUGACGGGGGCCCGCACAA
rnacentral:rRNA from 1 species